rnacentral:sRNA from 1 species
UUACAAAGGGCAUAUAAUCUGCCAAAAUAUCAUAUCGCGUAGGUCUGAAUACAUCAGGCCCUUUCUUCAUAUAAAGAAUGUCCAAGCGU